rnacentral:rRNA from 1 species
AGUGAACGCUGGCGGUAGGCCUAACACAUGCAAGUCGAACGGCAGCACAGUAAGAGCUUGCUCUUACGGGUGGCGAGUGGCGGACGGGUGAGGAAUACAUCGGAAUCUACUUUUUCGUGGGGGAUAACGUAGGGAAACUUACGCUAAUACCGCAUACGACCUACGGGUGAAAGCAGGGGAUCUUCGGACCUUGCGCGGUUGAAUGAGCCGAUGUCAGAUUAGCUAGUUGGCGGGGUAAAGGCCCACCAAGGCGACGAUCCGUAGCUGGUCUGAGAGGAUGAUCAGCCACACUGGAACUGAGACACGGUCCAGACUCCUACGGGAGGCAGCAGUGGGGAAUAUUGGACAAUGGGCGCAAGCCUGAUCCAGCCAUACCGCGUGGGUGAAGAAGGCCUUCGGGUUGUAAAGCCCUUUUGUUGGGAAAGAAAAGCAGCAGGUUAAUACCCCGCUGUUCUGACGGUACCCAAAGAAUAAGCACCGGCUAACUUCGUG